AUUGAACGCUGGCGGAAUGCUUUACACAUGCAAGUCGAACGGCAGCACGGGAGCUUGCUCCUGGUGGCGAGUGGCGAACGGGUGAGUAAUAUAUCGGAACGUAUCCAAUAAUGGGGGAUAACUAGUCGAAAGAUUAGCUAAUACCGCAUACGCCCUGAGGGGGAAAGCUGGGGAUCUUCGGACCUAGCGUUAGUGGAGCGGCCGAUAUCUGAUUAGCUAGUAGGUGAGGUAAAGGCUCACCUAGGCGACGAUCAGUAGCUGGUCUGAGAGGACGACCAGCCACACUGGAACUGAGACACGGUCCAGACUCCUACGGGAGGCAGCAGUGGGGAAUUUUGGACAAUGGGGGCAACCCUGAUCCAGCCAUUCCGCGUGAGUGAAGAAGGCCUUCGGGUUGUGAAGCUCUUUCGCAAGGGAAGAAAACUUACUUUCUAAUAAAGAGUGAGGUUGACGGUACCUUGAUAAGAAGCACCGGCUAACUACGUGCCAGCAGCCGCGGUAAUACGUAGGGUGCGAGCGUUAAUCGGAAUUACUGGGCGUAAAGCGUGCGCAGGCGGCCUGAUAAGUCAGAUGUGAAAUCCCCGAGCUCAACUUGGGAACUGCGUUUGAAACUAUCAAGCUAGAAUAUGUCAGAGGGGGGUAGAAUUCCACGUGUAGCAGUGAAAUGCGUAGAGAUGUGGAGGAAUACCAAUGGCGAAGGCAGCCCCCUGGGAUAAUAUUGACGCUCAUGCACGAAAGCGUGGGGAGCAAACAGGAUUAGAUACCCUGGUAGUCCACGCCCUAAACGAUGUCUACUAGUUGUUGGUGGAGUAAAAUCCAUGAGUAACGCAGCUAACGCGUGAAGUAGACCGCCUGGGGAGUACGGUCGCAAGAUUA
rnacentral:rRNA from 1 species